GAUAACUAGUGUGGUCUGGCAGCCAUGACAUGAAGGAGAACGAUAUCUAUCCCCAAAGAACUGUGCAGAGGAUUAGUUAUAGAAUCUCUUUAAAGUGCUCUGAAGGUGUAAAUACGUGUAUGGAUUAUUUUUAUCUUCAGCAGAAUCAGUCAGGAGAUCAGAUCAGAGCCCCAGAAAAAAGCAGCAAUUACACCAGCUUUUUGAACUCUGAUACUUCCAGGCUUCAAAUUUGUUGAAGAAAGCACCCUGAGUUCACCAUGGUCAGAAUUCACACAGCCUAGACUGGGAGCUACGUAACAGUUACCUAAAGAAGAUGUAACGGAAAACCUGCUGGAACAGCCAGCUGGAGAGAAGCAAGUGUGAAUCUUCUGUGCAAAGGCUGUAAAGCUAGUCAUAUCUGUAAGUCUUUAUGGGAUCAAGCCUUAACAUUUCAUACAACGAUCUCACUAGUCACAUGCGUGGAGUGAGCGUUUAGAGGUUUGAAGCGCUGUACUGAAAUGAGCUAUCUUGAGAUCGCUACUGGCUCAGGAGACAGCUGAAGCAACUACAGUUACAGCAUUAUCCUGUUUACUUGCAAUAUCCUGUUGUUCAGAGGAGGAAGUCAACUCUAUGUUACUCUGACAUUCCCAGGGCAUAGAGAAGCUGUGUUUGUUGUGAUAUAAAGCUGAGUAAAUAUGAGAGGGGGUUCCUUUUGGGGCUCUCUAUUAUCUGACCCACAUUUCAUGUGAGCAUGGAUAUGUUCCACAAUGGUAAUAGAUACACAUUUCUGGGACAGGGGCAUCAGGUUGGUAUAAUUUUUGGUGGUGCCCAGAAUGGG